rnacentral:rRNA from 1 species
CCUACGUGAGGCAGCAGUGAGGAAUAUUGGUCAAUGGACGCAAGUCUGAACCAGCCAUGCCGCGUGCAGGAAGACGGCUCUAUGAGUUGCAAACUGCUUUUGUACGAGGGUAAACGCAGAUACGCGUAUCUGUCUGAAAGUAUCGUACGAAUAAGGAUCGGCUAACUCCGUGCCAGCAGCCGCGGUAAUACGGAGGAUUCAAGCGUUAUCCGGAUUUAUUGGGUUUAAAGGGUGCGUAGGCGGUCGGAUAAGUUAGAGGUGAAAUCCCGAGGCUCAACUUCGGAAUUGCCUCUGAUACUGUUCGGCUAGAGAGUAGUUGCGGUAGGCGGAAUGUAUGGUGUAGCGGUGAAAUGCUUAGAGAUCAUACAGAACACCGAUUGCGAAGGCAGCUUACCAAGCUACGUCUGACGUUGAGGCACGAAAGCGUGGGGAGCAAACAGGAUUAGAUACCCCUGUAGUC